rnacentral:rRNA from 1 species
CCUACGGGGUGCAGCAGUGAGGAAUAUUGGUCAAUGGGCGCAAGCCUGAACCAGCCAAGUCGCGUGAGGGAAUAAGGCCCUACGGGUCGUAAACCUCUUUUGCCGGGGAGCAAGAGCGGGGACGUUUCCCGGCCCGGAGAGUACCCGUAGCAAAAGCAUCGGCUAACUCCGUGCCAGCAGCCGCGUGAAUACGGAGGAUACGAGCGUUGUCCGGAUUUAUUGGGUUUAAAGGGUGCGUAGGCGGGAGUUUAAGUCAGCGGUAAAAAUGCGGGGCGCAACCCCGGCCGGCCGUUGAAACUGGGGGCCUUGAGUGGGCGAGAAGAAGGCGGAAUGCGUGGUGUAGCGGUGAAAUGCAUAGAUAUCACGCAGAACCCCGAUUGCGAAGGCAGCCUUCCGGCGCCCUACUGACGCUGAGGCACGAAAGUGCGGGGAUCGAACAGGAUUAGAUACCCCUGUAGUC